UACGUAGGGGGCUAGCGUUGUCCGGAUUUAUUGGGCGUAAAGAGCGUGUAGGCGGCCAGGUAGGUCUGGUGUGAAAACUCGAGGCUUAACCUCGAGAUGUCAUCGGAAACCAUCUGGCUAGAGUCCGGAAGAGGAGAGUGGAAUUCCUGGUGUAGCGGUGAAAUGCGCAGAUAUCAGGAAGAACACCGGUGGCGAAAGCGCUCUGCUGGACCCUAACUGACACUGAGGGACGAAAGCUAGGGGAGCGAAUGGG
rnacentral:rRNA from 1 species